CUCCUAUCUAGAAAGAACCAGAAUAGUUAGUGCUUUUAAAGCAGAUGGCAGGGGUAUUAGUUUGAAAGCAGACGGCGAGUCGGGUAGAUUAAAGAAUCGGUUACCUGCAGUGAGCCUGCUCCUGGAAAGACUAGACUGAUCCCCAGUUUCCAGUGAGAUUCCCCCCUCGGGAUUGUCUCUCUGCCCUCGAUGUCAAGCAGGCCGUAAGUCCAGGUGAUAUAGGAAGCGAGCAGGUCCCUCCUUGCAGCCUGCAAGCACAGUACAGACUGCAGACAGGUUACACCUGCUGGUCGAUCCCCAGCCGGGGGAGGGGAGCGGAGUUUCAGGCUGGGUGUGACUGUGUUACCUGCCACACUCCAAAAUCAGG